AGCCUAUGGACAUGUGUGAUCAGUGGGGAGACUGAAUCCAACAUGAUCCUUCCACUUAGAGACAUUCUGUACCCUAAGACAGCAAGCAUUUGUGGGGAAGAGCGAGCUGGAGGAACCUGCCCUAGGGAAUCUGCACCAUGUUUGAGUACAGGCUGGAUAGGACUUGCAUGCCACGACAAUUUGUCUUUGAUCUCCAGAGAUCAUGAAUGCCUGAAAUGGUGCUGCAGACACUAAGAAUGCAAGAAAGAACUUUCAAAUCAAGAAUUUCAGGAGGAAAGCUGCUGCAGCGCGUCAAGCAUGUGGAACAUUUUAACAAGGAGUUUUUAAUGAAUCCCUGGGAAGAAAGUGCCCUCGAAAACAAUACUUCAGUACAUAAGUACUU
rnacentral:lncRNA from 1 species